AUUGAACGCUGGCGGCAUGCUUUACACAUGCAAGUCGAACGGUAACAGGCCUUCGGGUGCUGACGAGUGGCGAACGGGUGCGUAAUGCAUCGGAACGUACCCAGAGGUGGGGGAUAACGCAGCGAAAGCUGUGCUAAUACCGCAUGUGCUCUGAGGAUGAAAGCGGGGGACCGAGCAGCAAUGUUUGGCCUCGCGCCUUUGGAGCGGCCGAUGUCGGAUUAGCUAGUUGGUGGGGUAAAGGCCUACCAAGGCGACGAUCCGUAGCUGGUCUGAGAGGACGACCAGCCACACUGGGACUGAGACACGGCCCAGACUCCUACGGGAGGCAGCAGUGGGGAAUUUUGGACGAUGGGCGCAAGCCUGAUCCAGCAAUGCCGCGUGCGGGAAGAAGGCCUUCGGGUUGUAAACCGCUUUUGGCAGGAACGAAACGGUGUCCGCUAAUACCGGGCGCUAAUGACGGUACCUGCAGAAUAAGCACCGGCUAACUACGUG
rnacentral:rRNA from 1 species